CGAACCAACGGGGUCGUCGUUAAUUCGAUAAAUUAUUAUUAUUACGGUAUCGCCGACGCGUGUAAUUUCGCUCGGGUCCCGUGCUAUUAUUAUAUAGUAGCUGAGUAUCGGUAGAAAAUAUUUGUAAUCAUUGUCAAAAACUAUGCCCGAUGGCACAUGAACACAAGAAACCGUGAUACCGAUGAUUUUCUGAAGCGGUGAAUAUUUUACUGAAGG